rnacentral:rRNA from 1 species
GGAUCUGCGGUGGGUACGGGCAGACUAGAGUGAUGUAGGGGAGACUGGAAUUCCUGGUGUAGCGGUGAAAUGCGCAGAUAUCAGGAGGAACACCGAUGGCGAAGGCAGGUCUCUGGGCAUUAACUGACGCUGAGGAGCGAAAGCAUGGGGAGCGAACAGGAUUAGAUACCCUGGUAGUCCAUGCCGUAAACGUUGGGCACUAGGUGUGGGGGACAUUCCACGUUUUCCGCGCCGUAGCUAACGCAUUAAGUGCCCCGCCUGGGGAGUACGGCCGCAAGGCUAAAACUCAAAGGAAUUGACGGGGGCCCGCACAAGCGGCGGAGCAUGCGGAUUAACUCGAUGCAACGCGAAGAACCUUACCAAGGCUUGACAUGAACCGGAAACACCUGGAAACAGGUGCCCCGCUUGCGGUCGGUUUACAGGUGGUGCAUGGUUGUCGUCAGCUCGUGUCGUGAGAUGUUGGGUUAAGUCCCGCAACGAGCGCAACCCUCGUUCUAUGUUGCCAGCGCGUUAUGGCGGGGACUCAUAGGAGACUGCCGGGGUCAACUCGGAGGAAGGUGGGGACGACGUCAAAUCAUCAUGCCCCUUAUGUCUUGGGCUUCACGCAUGCUACAAUGGCCGGUACAAAGGGUUGCGAUACUGUGAGGUGGAGCUAAUCCCAAAAAGCCGGUCUCAGUUCGGAUUGGGGUCUGCAACUCGACCCCAUGAAGUCGGAGCCGCUAGUAAUCGCAGAUCAGCAACGCUGCGGUGAAUACGUUCCCGGGCCUUGUACACACCGCCCGU